rnacentral:rRNA from 3 species
AAUCCAUAGGUUAAUGAGGCGAACCGGGGGAACUGAAACAUCUAAGUACCCCGAGGAAAAGAAAUCAACCGAGAUUCCCCCAGUAGCGGCGAGCGAACGGGGAGGAGCCCAGAGCCUGAAUCAGCAUGUGUGUUAGUGGAAGCGUCUGGAAAGGCGCGCGAUACAGGGUGACAGCCCCGUACACAAAAGCGCAUGUGCUGUGAGCUCGAUGAGUAGGGCGGGACACGUGGUAUCCUGUCUGAAUAUGGGGGGACCAUCCUCCAAGGCUAAAUACUCCUGACUGACCGAUAGUGAACCAGUACCGUGAGGGAAAGGCGAAAAGAACCCCGGCGAGGGGAGUGAAAAAGAACCUGAAACCGUGUACGUACAAGCAGUGGGAGCACCC